AAGAUGGUUCGAUGAAAACGCGUCAUGUAAAUGUAACAAACUCAUGAUGCUGAGAAAAAGCUGCAAGGGAUGAUCACAGCGUUGAUACUGCAGUUGGUGGAUCACUUCUGCAAAGCAGGUGCCAGCAAUUGACGUCGGGAAAAUCUAACGAUGGCAAAGUAGCUGGGCCUGAGAACACUUGAGUCGAGCUAGCAUGUCUUUUGUUGGGUUGGUCUUAGCCUGAUUUGGGUUGGAAUUUUUUUUGGAUUAGGGCAAAAAGCCUGAGUUUGGUUUUUUUUUUUUUUUUCAUCAUGUUUUAUAAAUUUAUAGUUUAUAAAAUUUUAUUUUAUUUUUGUUAGGUUAGACUUUAGAAGUUGGGAUUACAG
rnacentral:lncRNA from 1 species